rnacentral:rRNA from 1 species
GCUGCAACUCGACUCCAUGAAGCUGGAUCCGCUAGUAAUCGCGCAUCAGCCAUGGCGCGGUGAAUACGUUCCCGGGCCCUGUACACACCGCCCGUCAAGCCAUGGGAGUCGGGAGUGCCUGAAGUUCGUGACCGUCACAGGAGCGACCUAAGGCAAGACCGAUGACUGGGGCUAAGUCGUAACAAGGUAUC